rnacentral:lncRNA from 1 species
AAUUUAGAAGUUUAAAUAUAUUGACAGAAUUAAAAUAAAUUUUAUAAGCUUAAAUAUUUUGGCUGAUUGAAUUUUUAAUAUUAGAGUUUAGAAUUAUGUUGUGUAAUAAAUAUAAAAGUAUUCUUCAAAAAUCGGUCAUAACAUCAACUUUUAAAAGUAUUCUUCAAAAGUUUAUGUUAUAACCGACCGUCCUUAAAGUAAACGGCAAAGGGCUUGGUGAUUGAUAUCCGACACCCAAAUCUAAAUCCCAGUUGGUUCACAUUUCUAGCUAAGUUUAUUUCAAAAUGAAAUAAACGAAGCGGGUAGCGUGUUAUCUAUUUUUUUUAAAAAAAAAGUUUAUGUUAUGAGAACGAGUAUUUUU